rnacentral:rRNA from 1 species
UAGGGAAUCUUCGGCAAUGGGGGCAACCCUGACCGAGCAACGCCGCGUGAGUGAAGAAGGUUUUCGGAUCGUAAAGCUUUGUUGUAAGAGAAGAACGUGUGCGAGAGUGGAAAGUUCACACAGUGACGGUAACUUACCAGAAAGGGACGGCUAACUACGUGCCAGCAGCCGCGGUAAUACGUAGGUCCCGAGCGUUGUCCGGAUUUAUUGGGCGUAAAGCGAGCGCAGGCGGUUUAAUAAGUCUGAAGUUAAAGGCAGUGGCUUAACCAUUGUUCGCUGUGGAAGCUGUUAAACUUGAGUGCAGAAGGGGAGAGUGGAAUUCCAUGUGUAGCGGUGGAAUGCGGAGAUAUAUGGAGGAACACCGGUGGCGAAAGCGGCUCUCUGGUCUGUAACUGACGCUGAGGCUCGAAAGCGUGGGGAGCAAACAGG